AUGACAAUCGAGGAGGCGAUAGGUCCCCUCAAGGUCGUCGACACCGAUGAGCCACAGCCUUCCUCGGGGCCCAUCACCACCGGCGGGAAGCUGCUCCUAACUCGGGAGCCGUGGGAUGCCAGCCUUGGUGACAGGAAGAAGGGGGAGCCUUCUUCCACAACGGGCGGCCGCAAGCGUGGCAAGCAGCGUAAGACGCGAAGAGGCCCCCCGGGCAGGGCACAAGGACGUGCCGAAGGGGACGCCCGCGGAGGCGCCAAGGACGGCGCCGCUGGCAAGCCCAAGCUGGCACAAGACAACAGCUGCCACAACUGUGGCCGGUUUGGCCAUUGGGCCAAUGAGUGUCGGCAACCACGACAAGGCCAGGCUCACGUCGCACAGGCGAAGGAGGAGACGGCUCUAUUCAUGGCGCAUGCAAGCAUUGAGCUAUCUUCAGCGACACCAGUUGCAAAAGCUCUCAUCCACCUCGACGAGCCAAAGGCGCACGCUCUUCUCGGCGAUGCCUCCGGGAAGGACAAGACUACGGGGUGGUGCCUCGACACCGGCGCCACCCACCACAUGACCGAUCGAAGGGAAUUAUUCGUCGAGCUCGAUUCCGAUGUGCGAGGCUCCGUCAAGUUUGGGGAUGCCUCCGCUGUGGAAAUUAAGGGCGUCGGCUCCAUCAUCUUCACCACCAAGACGGGAGAGCACCGGCUGCUCACCGAUGUCUACUACAUCCCUGCGCUAAGGAACUCCAUCAUCAGCUUGGGACAGCUGGAUGAGAACGGCUCACGCGUGCUGAUUGAGCAUGGGGUCCUACGCAUCUGGGAUCGCCAGGGUCGCCUUCUCGCCAAGGUACCCAGAGGUGGAAAUCGACUCUACGUCCUUGAUGUGCAGGUGGCACAACCGGUUUGUCUCGCUGUCCGUCGGGACGACGAGGCGUGGCAAUGGCAUGAGCGCUUUGGGCAUCUUCACUUUGAGGCCCUGAAGCGUCUAAGUGCCAAGGAGAUGGUACGAGGCCUGCCAUGCCUCGACCAUGUGGAGCAGUUCUGCGACAUCUGCGUACUGACGAAGCAGAGACGACUCCCCUUUCCCCAACAGGCGAGUUUUUGGGCCAAGGAGAAGCUGGAGCUCGUGCACGGAGACUUGUGCGGCCCGGUGACGCCAGCCACACCAGGAGGUCGACGCUACUUCCUGCUGCUCGUCGACGAUCUCUCUCGUUGCAUGUGGGCGAUGAUUCUCGGCAGCAAGGGAGAAGCGGCGGACGCCAUCAGGCGCACGCAGGCUGGUGUGAAGGCGGAGAGCGGCCGCAAAUUGCGCGUGUUGCGCACUGACAACGGUGGCGAAUUCACGGUGGCUGAAUUCGCGUCGUACUGCGCCAAUGAGGGCAUCCAGCGCCACUACUCCGCGCCGUACAGCCCGCAGCAAAACGGAGUCGUCGAGCGGCGCAACCAGACGGUUGUGGGGAUGGCUCGGGCUCUCCUCAAGCAGCGAGGGAUGCCGGCUGUUUUCUGGGGAGAGGCGGUGCUGACGGCCGUCUACAUCCUCAACCGCUCGCCUACUAAGGCACUCGACGGCAGGACAUCGUAUGAGGCCUGGUAUGGGCGGAAGCCGGCGGUCUCCCAUUUGCGGGUCUUUGGCUGUCUUGCGUUCGCUAAGGAGCUUGGCCACAUCGGCAAGCUCGACGACAGGAGCACUCCGGGAGUCUUCAUCGGCUACGUGGAGGGCUCAAAGGCCUACCGCAUCCUCGACCCAAAGACACAGCGUGUGCGCACGGCGCGAGACGUUGUGUUCAACAAAGGGCGAGGGUGGCAAUGGGACAAGGCGGUGGACGCCGACGCGACGCCGACGUAUGACGACUUCAUUAUCGAGUACGCUCACUUCAAGGAAGCCGGGGGAGCAAGCAGCUCCUCUCCGCCGGGCACGUCUACCCCGGCCCCCAAAACUACAUCGACUGCGGUGCCCGCUACGCCGACGGCACCACAACUGGCGACGCCGCAUACUCCAGCCCCGGCGGUCGCCACUCCGGGUUCGUCUUCAUCAGCACCAGCUCACGCAGAGCACAACACGAUGAAGUUCACUUCCCCGCUCACUCACGACGAGGAGCGGGUCGACGCGUGGUAUGGAGGUGAACAGCUGCGGUAUCGCACGAUGGAUGAUCUACUCGGCGACCAGCCGGUGCCGGGACUGAUGCCACGUGACCUGGAGGCGCAGCUACAACUCGCGUGUGAGGACGGCGAACCACGGUCCUUUGCAGAGGCCGAGAGAGAUGCGGCAUGGCGCGCCGCGAUGCAGUUGGAGAUGGAUGCGGUCGAGCAAAACCGCACCUGGGAGCUCGCUGACCUCCCCCGUGGUCACCGCGCAAUCACCCUUAAGUGGGUGUUCAAGCUGAAGAGGGAUGGAGCCGGCGCCAUCAUCAAGCACAAGGCUCGCCUGGUGGCCCGAGGCUUCUUGCAGCAGGAAGGAGUCGAUUUCGACGACGCCUUUGCUCCCGUGGCACGGAUGGAGUCCGUGCGACUCCUCCUUGCGCUGGCUGCCCAGGAGGGCUGGCGUGUCCAUCACAUGGAUGUCAAGUCGGCAUUCCUCAACGGUGACUUGAAGGAGGAAGUCUACGUGCAUCAGCCACCGGGUUUUGCGAUUCCCGGCUAG
rnacentral:rRNA from 1 species